rnacentral:rRNA from 1 species
AUUGAACGCUGGCGGCAGGCUUAACACAUGCAAGUCGAACGAGUGGCGGACGGGUGAGUAAUGUCUGGGAAACUGCCCGAUGUAGGGGGAUAACUACUGGAAACGGUAGCUAAUACCGCAUACCAUCGGAUGUGCCCAGAUGGGAUUAGCUAGUAGGUGGGGUAACGGCUCACCUAGGCGACGAUCCCUAGCUGGUCUGAGAGGAUGACAGGACAAACGUGAACGGGGACACGGUCCAAAGUCCUAAGGGAGGCAGCAGUGGGGAAUAUUGCACAAUGGGAGCAAGCCUGAUGCAGCCAUGCCGCGGGUAUGAAGAAGGCCUUAGGGUUGUAAGGUACUUUCAGCGAGGAGGCGUUACUCGCAGAAGAAGCACCGGCUAACUCCGUGCCAGCAGCCGCGGUAAUGC